CUAUACAUGACUCUGCGCAUAUCAAUAAGCGGAGGAAAAGAAACUAACUAGGAUUCCCUCAGUAACGGCGAGUGAAGCGGGAAGAGCUCAAAUUUGAAAUCUUCAAGGUUCUACCUUGACGAAUUGUAGUUUAAAGAAGUGUUUUCUGUUGGAGUUUUGGUAAAAGUUCUUUGGAAUAGGACAUCAUAGAGGGUGAGAAUCCCGUAUUUGACCAUUAUUUCCAACUUUGUGAUACACUUUCAAAGAGUCGGAUUGUUUGGGAAUGCAGUCCAAAAUGGGUGGUAAAUUUCAUCUAAAGCUAAAUACUGGCGAGAGACCGAUAGCGAACAAGUACCGUGAGGGAAAGAUGAAAAGAACUUUGAAAAGAGAGUUAAACAGUACGUGAAAUUGUCAAAAGGGAAGCGUUUGACACCAGUGUUGUUUUCUCGAAAAUCAAUUAAAAAUGGCAGGAUUUUGUGUUGUAUUGACUUUAUCAGCUUUCUGCACUUUUUUCUUGUCUUUUUUAAUGCACUUUUCGUUUAACAAGUCAACAUCAAUUUCUUUUGUUGUAAAAGGGUCAUUGGAAGGUGGCUUUCUUUUCGGAGAAAGUGUUUAUAGCCUUGUGCCUCUGCAAUCGGAGAGAUUGAGGUCUGCAGCGUAGAUCCUUCGGGGUUAGAUGCAUUUGUGCUAAGUUAUAGCCUUUCAUAGACAACUUGUUGACUAUGAUCAGUCAUGUAGCUUACUCGCUUAUGUCAUUUUACCUACGCUUAGGAUGUUGAUAUGCAUGACUGAUAU
rnacentral:rRNA from 1 species